AAAACAUCGCCUUUAGCCACACAAGUAUUAAAGGUACCGCCUGCCCAGUGAAACCCACCCCUUAAACGGCCGCGGUACUCUAACCGUGCAAAGGUAGCGUAAUCACUUGCCCCCCAAAUAGAGGCCAGUAUGAACGGCUAAAUGAGGGCCUAACUGUCUCCUAUGACAAGCCAAUGAAACUGAUCUCUCAGUACAAAAGCUGAAAUACACCCAUAAGACGAGAAGACCCCGUGGAGCUUCUAAACACCACACUAAUACCCACCCUACCUUAUAGUGUUUAACUUUUAGUUGGGGCGACUACGGAGACAACACAAACCUCCAUGAACCAGGAUUCCCUCCUCCGACGGCAGACAAGCCUAAGAUAACAAUAGCCAUUGACCCAGCACUGCUGAGCAACGAACCAAGUUACCCCAGGGAUAACAGCGCAAUCCUCCCCAAGAGUCCAUAUCGCCAGGAGGGUUUACGACCUCGAUGUUGGAUCAGAACACCCCGGCGGUGCAGCCGCUACCAACGGUUCGUUUGUUCAACGAUUAAUGUUCUACGUGA
rnacentral:rRNA from 1 species